UACGUAGGGUGCAAGCGUUAAUCGGAAUUACUGGGCGUAAAGCGUGCGCAGGCGGUUAUGUAAGACAGUUGUGAAAUCCCCGGGCUCAACCUGGGAACUGCAUCUGUGACUGCAUAGCUAGAGUACGGUAGAGGGGGAUGGAAUUCCGCGUGUAGCAGUGAAAUGCGUAGAUAUCUGGAGGAACACCGGUGGCGAAGGCGGCAUCCUGGACCAAUAUUGACGCUGAGGAGCGAAAGCCAGGGGAGCAAGCGGG
rnacentral:rRNA from 1 species